GAUGAAGAACGUAGCGAAAUGCGAUAAGUAAUGUGAAUUGCAGAAUUCAGUGAAUCAUCGAAUCUUUGAACGCACAUUGCGCCCGCCAGUACUCUGGCGGGCAUGCCUGUUCGAGCGUCAUUUCAACCAUCAAGCCCCCGGGCUUGUGUUGGGGACCUGCGGCUGCCGCAGGCCCUGAAAACCAGUGGCGGGCUCGCUAGUCACUCCGAGCGUAGUAGUUACAUCUCGCUCAGGGCGUGCUGCGGGUUCCGGCCGUUAAAAGCCUUUUACCCCAAGGUUGACCUCGGAUCAGGUAGGAAGACCCGCUGAACUUAAGCAUAUCAAUAAGCGGAGGA
rnacentral:misc_RNA from 1 species